rnacentral:rRNA from 1 species
GGAGCCGUAGCGAAAGCGAGUUUUAACUGAGCGUUCAGUUACUUGACGUAGACCCGAAACCGGGCGACCUACCCAUGAGCAGGCUGAAGCGAAAGUAAAAUUUCGUGGAGGUCCGAACCCACGAGCGUUGAAAAGCCCGGGGAUGACUUGUGGGUAGCGGAGAAAUUCCAAUCAAGCCCGGAGAUAGCUUGUUCUCCCCGAAAUAGCUUUAGGGCUAGCCUCAAGGUGAGAGAUACGGAGGUAGAGCACUGAAAGUCCUAGUGGGUAUUGCACCUACCGAAGACUAUCAAACUCCGAAUGCCGUCAUCUUAUACUUGGGAGUCAGACUGUGGGUGAUAAGAUUCAUAGUCGAAAGGGCAACAGCCCAGAUCGUCAGCUAAGGUCCCUAAAUGUAAGUUAAGUGGUAAAGGAUGUGGGAUUGCACAGACAACCAGGAUGUUGGCUUAGAAGCAGCCACUCAUUCAAAGAGUGCGUAAUAGCUCACUGGUCGAGUGAUCCUGCGCCGAAGAUUUCCGGGGCUAAAACUUACUACCGAAGCUACGGCAUCAGUAAUGAUGGGUAGGGGAGCUUCCCAUACGGGUUGAAGCAUGACCGUAAGGACAUGUGGACAGUAUGGGAGUGAGAAUGUUGGCAUGAGUAGCGAGAUGUGGGUGAGAAUCCCACAGGCCGUAAACCCAAGG